rnacentral:lncRNA from 1 species
AAAUAUGUUUUAAGGAUCUACUUCUAGUAGAAUUUGCCCGUGAAACCCAAGUUAGCAAAAAAUAAAAUCCAAAGAAGGCCUUGCAUGCCCUUAGAGUCUUUUGUUUUUGUUGACGCCAGAUUUUGACACGUGUGUAAUCGGCGUCAGGGAAGGAAGAAAUCAGAAGGAGCGGCGAGACACAGGGGUGGAGGUUGGGAAUCGGCCGAUUGGUGCUACAGUCAUGGAUCGGCCGAUUGACGUUUGGAGUUCCGCCUCGCCCGACCCCUGAGGCCUGGGAUCGGAUGCGCCCGACCCUCCGAGGGAGGAUCUUCGCCUCGCCAGACCCCUGAGGCCUGGGAUCGGAUGCGCCCGACCCUCCGAGGGAGGAUCUCCGCCUCGCCCGACCUUAGGUCCCAGGGUCGGAGUAGUCAGAGCCCCCGACAUGUGGGUCCUAAUCGGCUGUCCCUUGCCGAUGAGGUGAAUAGAAAUCGGCCGAUUAGAAGGCUGGAACAAUUGGGCCGGUGUGGGCCUAAAGAGGAUUAGGAAGAUGAAGAGGGAAUCAGCCCAUGAAGAGCGCGAUAAUCGACCUAGUACGAAUCGUACUUGUAAAUAUUCGUUUUCUGUUUAAAUUUAGGGAUAGAGUUCUAAUCGGAUAAGAAGUCGUUUGUAACAGGCUAUAAAUAGCCACCCUUGUAGAUCUGUAAUCAUCAUCAAAUCAAUAUAACAAACUACUAUUUCCUCGUACUUACUUUCAAGCAGGUGAUUUCGCCAAUACUUCUCUUCUUUUCCACGAGUUCGUACAAGUUGGCUGGGCUACAUCGACUUGACCUCCGGCUGAUUCUGUAAGUUCCGUUUACCGAGUAACAUCUAAGCUUUAACUUCGGGCGCAUCACUAUCGUUUCGUUUAGAUUUAUUCACCAGUUAUCGAUAUUCACUAGAAUUCUAGGUUUUACCUGUUGUUCUAGUUUUAUCACCAGUUAUCCAGCUAGGAAUUGGAGCUUUCGGCUUUCUUGUGCUUCGUUAUUCAAUCUAUUAUUUUACGCAUAGCCGAUUUAGAUCUAUUCUU